UGUGGCCCGCAUGGAAGCUGUGAUGGCUUCCAUGGGGCUGCUGUGGUCAGGAAGGAGCUGAAGGGAGUGCUCUCCUGGACAGCUGCCAUCCUGGUUGCUGCAACUGAUCUGUAACAUUUGGGGAAAAUACAAGU
ensembl:snoRNA small nucleolar RNA, H/ACA box 16A